AGCAGUCAGCACUGAAGUCUGCAACUCUUGCAGCAGGGAAAAGGCCUCAUCUUGGGGAAAAAAACUAUUUCCCACCACUCUCUCCAUACUGUGCCCAUGAAGAUGUGCAUCUUCACAAAGGCAGCAACAGCUAUUAAGGAAAGCCCACCAGUUAUUGAUGACUGCAGUGAGAAGCACUUCAUAGUUAUCAUGGAGUUCUGACUACACCUAUUAAUAACAUGGAUUUCUGAGGGUCAUCAGGGCACAGCAAGCAACUGCUCUGCCCCUGCUUUUUGGCCACGGGGUCUGUCCUGAAGAUAACCCACAGAUCUCUACCCGCACCUGCUAUGACUCACUUGCCAGGAGCAGUUCAGAGGAUAGGGGAAAUCACCAUCUGCUAUUCACUGAUGCUGGCAAUCUGCACUGCGUUCUCAUACUUACUCUGAGUGCUGGAAUAAAGGAACUCUUUUCGCUAACAAGCAAUCCAGAUUUAGAGAAUCUGUUGAGACCCAGAAAGAGUUCUCAGCAUUCCACAUAUUUCCAAACUGACCCCAACUGCUGCCUUGUGUCUGUCUGAAUUGGACCUUAAGUUUCUACUAAAGCAAACUCCGUGAGGUGAUAAUACCGAAUGAUGCAAAGUGAUGAACUGCUGAAACAGCAAAAGCAUGAGAGAAGCACUUGUUUCAGGGGUUACUCUUACCUACCUCUCGGCAGCUGGAGACAGAACGUCAGACAAAGCAUUUGCAAGCAUUUCUUCUCAUUGUCAAACUUUGAAAACAAAGCUGAAAGGUUAAGCAGAAGAAGUGCACACCAUUACAGAUGCCCAGGACAGCAGUUAAACAAGCACUUCGACACGCCUUGAACUCCGAACCCAGGGAUUUUUCUGCGACUGAAGUAUGUGCUGAAGAGCUUUGCUGAACAGGGAACAGUUAUGGGAUUACACAUCCAUAAAGAGCCGAUGGAUGUGCUUGAGCACUUUAUUGCACAGAUAAAAAAAAAUCAGAUAGUUCAAAUGUAAUCACAGUGCUUAAGCUUCAAGUUCAGAAAAAUUCUCCAUAGUAUGUUAUUACAGAGUGAACGCAGGGUUUAAUCUGUGCUCAUUUUCUCUCAGCUAUGUAUUGCAUUUUGGAUUUAAAACAUUUAAAACAGACUAACAAAUUAGAACGAUUCCAGCC
ensembl:lncRNA